rnacentral:rRNA from 1 species
CUUCGGGGACAUUGGUGACAGGUGGUGCAUGGUUGUCGUCAGCUCGUGUCGUGAGAUGUUGGGUUAAGUCCCGCAACGAGCGCAACCCUUGUCUUUAGUUGCCAUCAUUAAGUUGGGCACUCUAGAGAGACUGCCAGGGAUAACCUGGAGGAAGGUGGGGAUGACGUCAAAUCAUCAUGCCCCUUAUGCUUAGGGCUACACACGUGCUACAAUGGGUAGUACAGAGGGUUGCCAAGCCGUAAGG